rnacentral:rRNA from 1 species
AGUGAACGCUGGCGGUAGGCCUAACACAUGCAAGUCGAACGGCAGCACAGUAAGAGCUUGCUCUUGCGGGUGGCGAGUGGCGGACGGGUGAGGAAUACAUCGUAAUCUACUUUUUCGUGGGGGAUAACGUAGGGAAACUUACUCUAAUACCGCAUACGACCUACGGGUGAAAGCAGGGGAUCUUCGGACCUUGCGCGAUUGAAUGAGCCGAUGUCGGAUUAGCUAGUUGGCGGGGUAAAGGCCCACCAAGGCGACGAUCCGUAGCUGGUCUGAGAGGAUGAUCAGCCACACUGGAACUGAGACACGGUCCAGACUCCUACGGGAGGCAGCAGUGGGGAAUAUUGGACAAUGGGCGCAAGCCUGAUCCAGCCAUACCGCGUGGGUGAAGAAGGCCUUCGGGUUGUAAAGCCCUUUUGUUGGGAAAGAAAAGCAGCAGGUUAAUACCCCGCUGUUCUGACGGUACCCAAAGAAUAAGCACCGGCUAACUUCGUG